rnacentral:rRNA from 1 species
UACGUAGGGUGCGAGCGUUGUUCGGAUUUACUGGGCGUAAAGGGCGCGCAGGCGGCUUUGUUUGUCAGGCGUGAAAGCCCCGGGCUUAACCUGGGAACUGCGUUUGAUACGGCAGGGCUAGAGUUCGGGAGAGGAGAGUGGAAUUCCCAGUGUAGAGGUGAAAUUCGUAGAUAUUGGGAAGAACACCGGUGGCGAAGGCGGCUCUCUGGACCGAUACUGACGCUGAGGCGCGAAAGCGUGGGGAGCAAACAGG